UUCUAUAUACUGGUGAUCCUGGAGUCACUCUGUCUGUUACAGGUACAGUAACAUUCUAUAUACUGGUGAUCCUGGAGUCACUCUGUCUGUUACAGGUACAGUUACAUUCUAUAUACUGGUGAUCCUGGAGUCACUCUGUUUGUUACAGGUACAGUAACAUUCUAUAUACUGGCGAUCCUGGAGUCACUCUGUUACAGGUACAGUUACAUUCUAUAUACUGGAGAUCCUGGAGUCACUCUGUCUGUUACAGGUACAGUUACAUUCUAUAUACUGGUGAUCCUGGAGUCACUCUGUCUGUUACAGGUACAGUAACAUUCUAUAUACUGGUGAUCCUGGAGUCACUCUGUCUGUUACAGGUACAGUAACAUUCUAUAUACUGGUGAUCCUGGAGUCACUCUGUCUGUUACAGGUACAGUAACAUUCUAUAUACUGGUGAUCCUGGAGUCACUCUGUCUGUAACAGGUACAGUAACAUUCUAUAUACUGGUGAUCCUGGAGUCACUCUGUCUGUUACAGGUACAGUAACAUUCUAUAUACUGGUGAUCCUGGAGUCACUCUGUCUGUUACAGGUACAGUAACAUUCUAUAUACUGGAGAUCCUGGAGUCACUCUGUCUGUUACAGGUAAAGUAACAUUCUAUAUACUGGUGAUCCUGGAGUCACUCUGUCUGUUACAGGUACAGUAACAUUCUAUAUACUGGUGAUCCUGGAGUCACUCUGUCUGUUACAGGUACAGUAACAUUCUAUAUACUGGUGAUCCUGGAGUCACUCUGUCUGUUACAGGUACAGUAACAUUCUAUAUACUGGUGAUCCUGGAGUCACUCUGUCUGUAACAGGUACAGUAACAUUCUAUAUACUGGUGAUCCUGGAGUCACUCUGUCUGUUACAGGUACAGUAACAUUCUAUAUACUGGUGAUCCUGGAGUCACUCUGUCUGUUACAGGUACAGUAACAUUCUAUAUACUGGUGAUCCUGGAGUCACUCUGUCUGUUACAGGUACAGUUACAUUCUAUAUACUGGUGAUCCUGGAGUCACUCUGUUUGUUACAGGUACAGUAACAUUCUAUAUACUGGCGAUCCUGGAGUCACUCUGUUACAGGUACAGUUACAUUCUAUAUACUGGAGAUCCUGGAGUCACUCUGUCUGUAACAGGUACAGUAACAUUCUAUAUACUGGUGAUCCUGGAGUCACUCUGUCUGUUACAGGUACAGUAACAUUCUAUAUACUGGUGAUCCUGGAGUCACUCUGUCUGUUACAGGUACAGUAACAUUCUAUAUACUGGUGAUCCUGGAGUCACUCUGUCUGUUACAGGUACAGUAACAUUCUAUAUACUGGUGAUCCUGGAGUCACUCUGUCUGUUACAGGUACAGUAACAUUCUAUAUACUGGUGAUCCUGGAGUCACUCUGUCUGUUACAGGUACAGUAACAUUCUAUAUACUGGUGAUCCUGGAGUCACUCUGUUUGUUACAGGUACAGUAACAUUCUAUAUACUGGCGAUCCUGGAGUCA